GGUGUGCUCUCGCCAUUGUUCCAUCUGCAAGGAGCACUCUUUCUGCAGAAGGGACCUAUUCUCCUCUGGGGGUAGUCUCCAGUCCUCUCUCCUAAGGAGGUGCCCUGCUGCCUCAUUGCUGUGGCCUCAGCGGUGAGGAAUUGAGACCCACCUGCUGUGCUGAAUAAACCCGGACUCUCAGCAAUGCGGAAAGAAACCGGCUGGUGACCUGAAGUAAAGGAUCCUCACAUACUACGUGGACCAGACAACCUCGUGCACAAGCCAAGGAAGGAAACACUGGAGGAGCUGAACUAAAGGUCUUUCAGCACAGGUGCCACCCCUAGCAUUUCCAGCACACCAGCAUCAGCCUGGGGACCACGUCGUUGUCAAAAGUUAGAGAGAAGGAAAACUUGAACUGGCAAAGGACCUUACCUAGUGCUCCUAACUACCGAAAUGGCAGUCUGGACAGCAGAAAAAGGAUGGACCCAUCACACCCAAGUCAAGAAAGUGCUGCCCCCUCCAGAGUCAUGGGCCGUAGUCCCAGGAGAAAACCCUAUCAAACUAAAGAUAAGAAAAAUUUAACUCCUUUCAUCUAUUCUGUUACUCCUUCUUCUUUCCUUGCUCUAUUGCUGACUACCUAGUUAUUAAUGUAACCAAGUCAAUUUUGCCUCAAACUAUUACAUUUGAUGGUUGCCUUGUUAUACCCUGUGGAGAUUUGCCAAGUUAGGGGCAACUCUCCACUUCAGAAAACUAUC